GGAGGAGGAGAUUACUCCGACAGAAAAGGAAAAAAUAAUUGAUGCUAAUCGCUCAGUCUAGCUUGACAGAGGUAAAGGCUUGUGAAAUCAUCCUUUACGAAGAUGUAUGCAGGAAGAGGAAAGCAAAGUUAUUAAUAUCAAGCAGUAAAUGGAAAUGAAAUCCCCUCUUCCGAGCCUUCUCACUCAGUUUGUGAGGCUUCAGUUGCUCUUUUACCUCCGCCUCUCGCAGGAAUCUUGCCUCCUAUGGACCUGAUGAACACAAACUUGACACGACCCGUCCCGACUCAACCUAAUUGACUCGACACGUGUCGUGCGCCGGUAGUAGAUACCAGCAAAAUACCGGACCCACCACCAAGGCAAACUUGACCUAUUUUGACUGUGCUAAUAUCUAUAAAAAUUUUGACAGAGUUUCCCCUGUAACAUGGACAAAACCAACCUGAAAAAUCAUCAAAAUCUCAAAUAGACAUUUAAACCAAAAGUUUUGCAAACCACCACUUCCUCUAAUGCUACCACAACUACUACAAAAUAUAACAAAAUUCGACUGAGUGUUUUUACAACAUCAUCCUGUUAACAUGCAAGUAUUAUAUCACUUGCAAACCCUUAUACAAAUAUGCUUGACACCCAAAAUUAGACAAUUACUUAAUAAACAUAAGUUUCCCAAAUAUUCAUUACAUACUUAUGAAACUGUCUCUUUCGCUUCAGCAGGCUUUUUCCCAGUAUCUCAAAAUCGACCUUCUCCUGAUAGGAAAACAUAGUAAAAAGAUAUGAGUUUACAACUCAGUGAGUGGAUAGUUGAAAAUAAAUAAACUUAUCCAUUUAUACUAUUUUCUGAAAAUUCUUGCACUAUUUAUCGCUAAGAACUUCUGAAAAAUAGUAACACUUUUACAAACCCAAUGAGAAAUUAUAUUCCUACUGUCGAAAAAAUUCUGACUCUGUGAAUUAUGUUACUUCUCUGCCUCUUGUCGAAUCAACUCCACCCAUUGAGACUAGUUCUCAGGCUAACCAAGAGGACCCA
rnacentral:lncRNA from 1 species